rnacentral:rRNA from 1 species
CCUACGGGUGACAGCAGUGAGGAAUAUUGGUCAAUGGGCGUAAGCCUGAACCAGCCAAGUCGCGGGAGGGAUGAAGGUUCUAUGGAUCGUAAAACUCUUUUAUAAGGGAAUAAAGUGUGGGACGUGUCCUAUUUUGUAUGUACCUUAUGAAUAAGGAUCGGCUAACUCCGUGCCAGCAGCCGCGGUAAUACGGAGGAUCCGAGAGUUAUCCGGAUUUAUUGGGGUUAAAGGGUGCGUAGGCGGCCUUUUAAGUCAGCGGUGAAAGUCUGUGGCUCAACCAUGGGAUUGCCGUUGAAACUGGGGGGCUUGAGUAUGUGUGAGGCAGGCGGAAUGCGUGGUGUAGCGGUGAAAUGCUUAGAUAUCACGCAGAACCCCGAUUGCGAAGGCAGCCUGCCAAGCCAUGACUGACGCUGAUGCACGAAAGCGUGGGGAUCAAACAGGAUUAGAUACCCGAGUAGUC